rnacentral:tRNA from 1 species
AGGUUUUUAUUCUUAGACUGCAAACCUAAGUUAGCGGGUCUCCGCAAAAAUCUG